rnacentral:rRNA from 1 species
GACGAACGCUGGCGGCGUGCUUAACACAUGCCAGUCGAACGGAAAGGCCUCUUUCGGGGGGUACUCGAGUGGCGAACGGGUGAGUAACGCGUGAGUAACCUGCCCUUGACUUUGGGAUAACUUCAGGAAACUGGGGCUAAUACCGGAUAGGAGCUCCUGCUGCAUGGUGGGGGUUGGAAAGUUUCGGCGGUUGGGGAUGGACUCGCGGCUUAUCAGCUUGUUGGUGGGGUAGUGGCUUACCAAGGCUUUGACGGGUAGCCGGCCUGAGAGGGUGACCGGCCACAUUGGGACUGAGAUACGGCCCAGACUCCUACGGGAGGCAGCAGUGGGGAAUAUUGCACAAUGGGUGGAAGCCUGAUGCAGCAACGCCGUGUGCGGGAUGACGGCCUUCGGGUUGUAAACCGCUUUCGCUCAUGACGAAGCUUUGUGUGACGGUAGUGGGUAAAGAAGCACCGGCUAACUACGUG